rnacentral:rRNA from 1 species
UACGAAGGGUGCAAGCGUUGCUCGGAAUCACUGGGCGUAAAGGGCGCGUAGGCGGACUUUUAAGUCAGGGGUGAAAUCCUGAGGCUCGACCUCAGAACUGCCUUUGAUACUGAGGGUCUCGAGACCGGUAGAGGUAAGUGGAACUGCGAGUGUAGAGGUGAAAUUCGUAGAUAUUCGCAAGAACACCAGUGGCGAAGGCGGCUUACUGGACCGGUUCUGACGCUGAGGCGCGAAAGCGUGGGGAGCAAACAGG